GCCACAUCCAGUGGUUUGAGCAUUGGAUUAUGGCUCCAGGGAUCAGGGUUCAAAUCCCUGCUUGGCC